rnacentral:rRNA from 1 species
CCUACGGGUGGCAGCAGUGGGGAAUAUUGGACAAUCGGGGAAACCCUGAUCCAGCGACGCCGCGUGAGUGAAGAAGUAUUUCGGUAUGUAAAGCCCUAUCAGCAGGGAAGAAAAUGACGGUACCUGAAUUAAAAACCCCGGCUAACUACGUGCCCGCCGCCGCGGUAAUUCGUAGGGGGCCGGCGUUAUCCGGCUUUACUGGGUGUAAAGGGAGCGUAGACGGCCUUGCAAGUCUGAUGUGAAAGAUGGGGGCUCAACCCCGGGCCUGCAUUGGUAACUGGAAGGCUGGAGUGCCGGAGAGGUAAGCGGAAUUCCUGGUGUAGCGGUGAAAUGCGUAGAUAGUAGGAGGAACACCAGUGGCGAAGGCGGCUUGCUGGACUGUAACUGACGUUGAGGCUCGAAAGCGUGGGGAGCAAACAGGAUUAGAUACCCUUGUAGUC